rnacentral:rRNA from 1 species
AUGGAGGAGUGGGUCUUUCUCGGCGACAGCGGCAGCGACGCCGAGACCGUGUGCUCCAUGGACGACAGCGGGAGCGAGGCGGGCUUCGCCAUGGUGCAGCGCAGCCGAAGCCAUGCCAAGGCUGAAGGCGGCAAGAACCAAGACAAGGAGGAGGAGAGCGACGAGGACGACGACGAUUACUUCGACCUCAACCUCCCGGCCCUCGCGGGCAGCAAGGCCGUCUUCGGCGCCAACGGAGAUUGCUUCGAUUUCGAUCUGGCGGCUAGCAUCCUGAGCAUGGGCAGCGUUGGGUACGACAGCGGGUUCCACGGCGCCGACGCCGAGGACGACAUUGACACGCUGAGCCUUGGCGCGCCGGACGGCGACGGCGACGGCACCGUGCACCCAGAGCGCGUCCUCUGUGCCCACUGCGCCAAGAUCGACACCGACCAGAGCUCCCACGCGGCGAAGCUGGUCACGUACGAUGACAUCGAUACUGGCAGCUCUGACGACGAGCUCUCAGACGAGGAUGACACCGAUCAGAGCUCCGACAUGGCCGGAUUGGUCAAGUACGACGACAUUGAUACUGGCAGCUCUGACUCGUCGGAGAGCGACUACGGCGAUGACGGCGAGCUCUCAGACGAGGAUGACACCGACGGCUCUGUCUGGGCGGAGUUGGUCAACUACGACGACAUCGACACCGGCAGCUCUGACUCGUCGGAGAGCGACCACGACGGCAACGAUGAACUGUCGGACGAGGAUGACACCGAUGGCAAUGUCGCUCCGCAGCAGCGCCCCCAGCCAUAG